GAUGAACGCUGGCGGCGUGCCUAAUACAUGCAAGUCGAACGAACAGACGAGGAGCUUGCUCCUCUGACGUUAGCGGCGGACGGGUGAGUAACACGUGGAUAACCUACCUAUAAUACUGGGAUAACUUCGGGAAACCGGAGCUAAUACCGGAUAAUAUAUUGAACCGCAUGGGGCAAUAGUGAAAUACGGUUUUGCUGUCACUUAUAGAUGGAUCCGCGCCGCAUUAGAUAGUUGGUAAGUUAACGGCUUAUCAAGGCAAGGAGGGGUAUCCGAGCGGAUUGGGUGGUCGGCGACACUGGAACUGAACCAGGGUCAAUACUACUACGGGAGGCACCAGUCGGGAAUCUGCCGCAAUGGGCGGAAGUAUGACGGAGCAAGCCGGCGUGAGUGAUGACGGUCUUGGGUGCGUAAAACUGGGCUAUUGGGGAAGAACAAAUGUGUACGUAACUAUGCCCUUAUUGACGGUAACUAAUCAGAAAGCACCGGCUAACUACGUG
rnacentral:rRNA from 1 species